rnacentral:rRNA from 1 species
UGAAGAGUUUGAUCAUGGCUCAGAUUGAACGCUGGCGGCAGGCCUAACACAUGCAAGUCGAACGGUAACAGGAAGCAGCUUGCUGCUUUGCUGACGAGUGGCGGACGGGUGAGUAAUGUCUGGGAAACUGCCUGAUGGAGGGGGAUAACUACUGGAAACGGUGGCUAAUACCGCAUAACGUCGCAAGACCAAAGAGGGGGACCUUCGGGCCUCUUGCCAUCAGAUGUGCCCAGAUGGGAUUAGCUUGUUGGUGAGGUAACGGCUCACCAAGGCGACGAUCCCUAGCUGGUCUGAGAGGAUGACCAGCCACACUGGAACUGAGACACGGUCCAGACUCCUACGGGAGGCAGCAGUGGGGAAUAUUGCACAAUGGGCGCAAGCCUGAUGCAGCCAUGCCGCGUGUAUGAAGAAGGCCUUCGGGUUGUAAAGUACUUUCAGCGGGGAGGAAGGUGUUGUGGUUAAUAACCGCAGCAAUUGACGUUACCCGCAGAAGAAGCACCGGCUAACUCCGUGCCAGCAGCCGCGGUAAUACGGAGGGUGCAAGCGUUAAUCGGAAUUACUGGGCGUAAAGCGCACGCAGGCGGUCUGUCAAGUCGGAUGUGAAAUCCCCGGGCUCAACCUGGGAACUGCAUUCGAAACUGGCAGGCUUGAGUCUUGUAGAGGGGGGGAGAAUUCCAGGUGUAGCGGUGAAAUGCGUAGAGAUCUGGAGGAAUACCGGUGGCGAAGGCGGCCCCCUGGACAAAGACUGACGCUCAGGUGCGAAAGCGUGGGGAGCAAACAGGAUUAGAUACCCUGGUAGUCCACGCCGUAAACGAUGUCUACUUGGAGGUUGUGCCCUUGAGGCGUGGCUUCCGGAGCUAACGCGUUAAGUAGACCGCCUGGGGAGUACGGCCGCAAGGUUAAAACUCAAAUGAAUUGACGGGGGCCCGCACAAGCGGUGGAGCAUGUGGUUUAAUUCGAUGCAACGCGAAGAACCUUACCUGGUCUUGACAUCCACGGAAGUUUUCAGAGAUGAGAAUGUGCCUUCGGGAACCGUGAGACAGGUGCUGCAUGGCUGUCGUCAGCUCGUGUUGUGAAAUGUUGGGUUAAGUCCCGCAACGAGCGCAACCCUUAUCCUUUGUUGCCAGCGGUCCGGCCGGGAACUCAAAGGAGACUGCCAGUGAUAAACUGGAGGAAGGUGGGGAUGACGUCAAGUCAUCAUGGCCCUUACGACCAGGGCUACACACGUGCUACAAUGGCGCAUACAAAGAGAAGCGACCUCGCGAGAGCAAGCGGACCUCAUAAAGUGCGUCGUAGUCCGGAUUGGAGUCUGCAACUCGACUCCAUGAAGUCGGAAUCGCUAGUAAUCGUGGAUCAGAAUGCCACGGUGAAUACGUUCCCGGGCCUUGUACACACCGCCCGUCACACCAUGGGAGUGGGUUGCAAAAGAAGUAGGUAGCUUAACCUUCGGGAGGGCGCUUACCACUUUGUGAUUCAUGACUGGGGUGAAGUCGUAACAAGGUAACCGUAGGGGAACCUGCGGUUGGAUCACCUCCUUACCUUAAAGAAGC